rnacentral:rRNA from 1 species
CAGUAGCGUAUAUUAAAGUUGUUGCAGUUAAAAAGCUCGUAGUUGGAUUUCUGGUUUUUCACGUCUAGUCCGCUGCGGUAACGUAUGUCGAGUACCAGUUCGUGUUAGCCAUCCUUCUAGGGAACGGGUCUACUCUUCACUGAGUUGGGCACGGGUUCUAGAUCUUUUACUUUGAAAAAAUUAGAGUGUUUAAAGCAGGCUUUGCCGUGAAUACAUUAGCAUGGAAUAAUAAUUUAGGACUUCGAUUCUAGUUUGUUGGUUCUGAAAUUGAAGUAAUGAUUGAUAGGGAUAGUUGGGGGUGCUAGUAUUGAUUGGCCAGAGGUGAAAUUCUUGGAUUCAAUCAAGACUAACUUAUGCGAAAGCAUUCACCAAGGAUGUCUUCUUUAAUCAAGAACGAAAGUUGGGGGAUCGAAGACGAUCAGAUACCAU